rnacentral:misc_RNA from 1 species
GAUGAAGAACGUAGCGAAAUGCGAUAAGUAAUGUGAAUUGCAGAAUUCAGUGAAUCAUCGAAUCUUUGAACGCACAUUGCGCCCCUUGGUAUUCCGAGGGGCAUGCCUGUUCGAGCGUCAUUACACCACUCAAGCUAUGCUUGGUAUUGGGCGUCGUCCUUAGUUGGGCGCGCCUUAAAGACCUCGGCGAGGCCACUCCGGCUUUAGGCGUAGUAGAAUUUAUUCGAACGUCUGUCAAAGGAGAGCAACUCUGCCGACUGAAACCUUUAUUUUUCUAGGUUGACCUCGGAUCAGGUAGGGAUACCCGCUGAACUUAAGCAUAUCAAUAAGCGGAGGA